AUAAGAGUACUUACCGAUGCGUUGACUCUCCGGUGUUAACAAGUAUUGAAUCUUCUUUGCUCUGCUUUGCUUCAAUCCAAUCUUCCUUCUCCCCCUUCUGUUUCCCACUUCUACUGCAUUGAAUCGAGAGUGAGAGUUGAAGAACGAGAGUGAAGAGUUUAUGAGCUUGAUUCGUGACUUGUGAUUUUGAGUGCUCCUUCUGUGAAUUGUGAAGAGUUUGCUUUCUGUGUGUUGUGAAGUGUGUUCCAGAGUAGUGAAUGAGUGAAGAGUGAUUGCAUAUAUAGAGUUUUGGUUUGCAGUUUCAGUUAGAAAUGCACAUGAAAUUCAAUUUAAAUUCACAAGUUAGUUGAAAAUGUAGAAAAUCUGUUAUCUUUGAAAUGAGUUAGUGAAUUAGUUUUUGUGUGUUGCAUAUGUUGGUUAGUUAUUGUGAGCUUCAAAUUUGUUUUGUUAAUCGAAGUAUAUAGGGAUAAUAUGUUGCUAUGAAUUAUGCAGGGUGGAUGCUUUGUUUCUUUCACUUGUGUUUUCAGGGCUAUGUGUUUUGUAUUUUGUAGGGUGCUUCUGUUCAUUUUCUGUCAUGUAUGCAAUUGUUCAUUAUCUUAUAGUCUGUUAGAAUCAUUAGGGGCAAUGUUUUGGCCUUGUUAGAAUCAGUAGGAAACAUGUUUGUAGGUUUAAUGUAUUGCUUUGUUGAAGUCAGUUUGUAGAGUAAUUGAUAUGUUGUGGACUGUUGGUCAGUAGGUUACAAGGCAACUGUUUUGGUUUGUUGUGGUCAAGAGGUUGCACUUGUGUUGUGAAAUGUUAUGUAUUUAGAAUGCUAUUUUGAAUGGCUAAUGGAAUUGAAUUGAAUGGUUUAUGGAAUGUUAAUUGGGAAUGUGUAUAUGGAAUGUAUUGAAUGUGUGUUAUUGAAUUGUAUUGGAAUUGUAUAUGGCUUGAUCAUUUGAAUUGUAUUGAUUUAUAAUGGGAAUGUGUUGAAUUGUGUAUUGUGUUGAAUUGGAUUAUGGAUGGCUUCCUUGGUUGAAAUGUUUUGGACAAACAUGCUUAAAUACCUAAUUGUGGAAUGUGAAUUUUGUAGGUUUUGCAUUUGGCAUGGACACUUGAGGAUCAAGACUUGAAGACUUGAGGACUCUGGGGAAAAUGGUUGACUUUGGUCAACUAGUUGACCAAAAAGUCAAUAGUUGACCAAAGUCAAUUGUAGAUUAGAAACUAGAGUUUUGCAUUGUUAGAUAUAAAUGUAAUGAGUUAAUGAAAUGUAUGUAAAAGUGGU
rnacentral:lncRNA from 1 species